rnacentral:rRNA from 1 species
CCCUUCGGGUUAGUGGCGGACGGGUUAGUAACGCGUGAGGAUCUGCCCUUAGGAGGGGAACAACAGUUCGAAACGACUGCUAAUGCCCCAUAUGCCGAGAGGUGAAAUGUUGAUCGCCUAGGGAUGAGCUCGCGUCUGAUUAGCUAGUUGGUGAGGUAAAGGCUCACCAAGGCGACGAUCAGUAGCUGGUCUAAGAGGAUGAUCAGCCACACUGGGAAUGAGACACGGCCCAGACUCAUACGGGAGGCAGCAGU